CCCCGAGAGGCGAGGCGCCGCUGGCAGCAACGGGGAUGCUUCAGUUCCCGAGCGCUCCCGGCCCCGCUCCCCACCCUCCAUCUGGCAGCAGGAGGUGGGAGUCAUGGGCGAAAGCCCUCGGUGGGAAGGAAGGAGGAGGGCGACGCCGCCGUGUUCCCGGCAGCCCUUCCCUCCGCUUCCCAAUCCCGCCCACCGCACCCGCGGCUGCUGAAACCCGGAGGCUCCAUGGGAUAACUGCGCUGAUGCUCCCGGCCCCGUAUCCCCCUCCCGGAGCAGGGACCAAGGUGCAGGACCCAAGUGCUUCCCCAGCAGUGAGGAGAGACCUUGAGGUGCUGCUGCAGACAGAGAUGUGGUCCCCAAGUGCCAGCACUGCAGGGACAGCCCCGCUGCCCCCCGAGCCGGGCUGCUCUCGGGAGGAGAUGAGGGCGGAUUCACCCCUUGAAUCACAUCACAUCAGGGUACAGGCAUGGGCACAUCGGGGCUCGACCCCCACAUCCCCGCUGGCAGCACCGACACCAGAUCCUGGUAGCCGAGGGAGCAGGGAAGUGUUCGCUCCCUGCGCCCAUCCUCGUGGCAUCCAUCGGGAUGUGACUGACGGCGGCUCCCGGCGUGGGCAGAGGGAGCCGGAGCUGAGCGCGGCGCCGGGGGAGGACGAGAGCGCUGCUGCUCUCCAGAGCCGGAUAACGAGAGCGAGGGGAAGGGACCGGUGAAGGGCUCGGGGCUGAGGCUGGAUCAGGGUGAGGGAUGUAAAGGGGACUGUGGGAGAGCACAGGGAAUGUCCCCUGCCCCCCCGAGGAGCAGGGCAAUGCGAAGCAGGCUCACAGGCAUUGCCCAGCGCUGCUCCGGUCCUGCCUCGGUGGCAGCCCCUUCCCCACAGCUCGAAGGCAGGAGAACCCCUGCCUGUGGGGAGCAGGGAUGCGAAGCGAGACUGGGGGGGCCUCCCUGCUCCCCCCAAACUACAAGUCCCAGUAGACAUCGCGCUGUGAGAGCCUGGCCAAGG
rnacentral:lncRNA from 14 species